UACGUAGGGUGCAAGCGUUGUCCGGAAUUAUUGGGCGUAAAGAGCGUGUAGGCGGCCCGACAAGUCCGCUGUGAAAGUCCAGGGCUCAACCCUGGAAUGCCGGUGGAUACUGUCGGGCUAGAGUCCGGAAGGGGCGAGUGGAAUUCCUGGUGUAGCGGUGAAAUGCGCAGAUAUCAAGAGGAACACCAAUGGCGAAGGCAGCUCGCUGGGACGUGACUGACGCUGAGACGCGAAAGCGUGGGGAGCAAACCGG
rnacentral:rRNA from 1 species